UAGGGAAUCUUCCGCAAUGGGCGAAAGCCUGACGGAGCAACGCCGCGUGAGUGAUGAAGGUCUUCGGAUCGUAAAACUCUGUUAUUAGGGAAGAAUAAAUGUGUAAGUAACUAUGCACGUCUUGACGGUACCUAAUCAGAAAGCCACGGCUAACUACGUGCCAGCAGCCGCGGUAAUACGUAGGUAGCAAGCGUUAUCCGGAAUUAUUGGGCGUAAAGCGCGCGUAGGCGGUUUUUUAAGUCUGAUGUGAAAGCCCACGGCUCAACCGUGGAGGGUCAUUGGAAACUGGAAAACUUGAGUGCAGAAGAGGAAAGUGGAAUUCCAUGUGUAGCGGUGAAAUGCGCAGAGAUAUGGAGGAACACCAGUGGCGAAGGCGACUUUCUGGUCUGUAACUGACGCUGAUGUGCGAAAGCGUGGGGAUCAAACAGG
rnacentral:rRNA from 1 species